AACGCGAAGAACCUUACCUGGGCUUGAACCGCACAGGACCAGCUUGAGAAAUCAGGCCUUCCCGCAAGGGACCUGUGUAGAGGUGCUGCAUGGCUGUCGUCAGCUCGUGUCGUGAGAUGUUGGGUUAAGUCCCGCAACGAGCGCAACCCUUGUCCUGUGUUACCAUGCCGAAAGGCGGCACUCGCAGGAGACCGCCAGCGAUAAGCUGGAGGAAGGUGGGGAUGACGUCAAGUCCUCAUGGCCUUUAUGUCCAGGGCUACACACGUGCUACAAUGGGCGGUACAAAGCGCUGCUAAGCCGCAAGGCGGAGCCAAUCGCAAAAAGCCGCUCUCAGUUCGGAUUGCAGGCUGCAACUCGCCUGCAUGAAGCUGGAAUCGCUAGUAAUGCUAUAUCAGAACGAUAGCGUGAAUACGUUCCCGGGCCUUGUACACACCGCUCGUC
rnacentral:rRNA from 1 species